rfam:Bordetella petrii strain DSM 12804, complete genome
CCUGGUGUUCCGUCAUCAGUAGCCUACCGAUACAUGCAGGACUGGCAACGGUCUUGUGUGAAGCUAUCGGGACAAUGCACUCAGGCCAUUUGGCCGCGCAGAGCCGCGAGGCAAGGCGUCCACUGCAAGCAUCAAUGCGGGGUGAGG